CAGUCGCCGCGGUAAUACGAAGGGUGCAAGCGUUACUCGGAAUUACUGGGCGUAAAGCGUGCGUAGGUGGUUGUUUAAGUCUGUUGUGAAAGCCCUGGGCUCAACCUGGGAAUUGCAGUGGAUACUGGGCGACUAGAGUGUGGUAGAGGGUAGUGGAAUUCCCGGUGUAGCAGUGAAAUGCGUAGAGAUCGGGAGGAACAUCCAUGGCGAAGGCAGCUACCUGGACCAACACUGACACUGAGGCACGAAAGCGUGGGGAGCAAACAGGAUUAGAUACCCCAGUAGUCCCUGUCUCUUAUAC
rnacentral:rRNA from 1 species